rnacentral:SRP_RNA from 1 species
GCUGGGCAUGGAGGCGCGUGCCUGUAGUUCAGCUACUCGGGAGGCUGAGGCUGGAGGAUCCCAUGAGCCCAGGAGUUCUGGGCUGUAGUGCGCUAUGCCAAUCGGGUGUCCACACUAAGUUCGGCAUCAAUAUGGUGACCUCCCAGGAGCGGGAGACCACCAGGUUGCCUAAGGAGGGAUGAACCGGCCCAGGUCGGAAACGAAGUGGUCAAAACUCCCGUGCUGAUCAGUAGUGGGAUCAAGCCUGUGAAUAGCCACUGCACUCCAGCCUGGGCAACAUAGUGAGAUCCCGUCUCAA